rnacentral:rRNA from 1 species
AUACGGAGGGUGCGAGCGUUAUCCGGAUUUAUUAGGUUUAAAGGGUGUGUAGGCGGGAGCCUAAGUCAGUGGUGAAAUCUCACAGCUUAACUGUGAAACUGCCAUUGAAACUGGGUUUCUUAAGUAUAUUUGAGGUAGGCGGAAUGUGUAAUGUAGCGGUGAAAUGCAUAGAUAUUACACAGAACACCGAUUGCGAAGGCAGCUUACUAAGCUAUUACUGACGCUGAUGCACGAAAGCGUGGAUAGCGAACAGAAUUAGAAACCCCAGUAGUCC